CACCGAGCAGCUGGGUUCAGAGGCAGACCUGUCCUGAGCAGCUGGGUGCACAGGCAGACCCAUCCUGCACUGCCCCAGGUGUGCUGGCACGGCCCCAGGUGCCCCAGCACAGCCCCAGCUGUCCCAGCACGGCCCCAGGUGUGCCAGCACAGCCCCAGGUGUGCCAGCACGGCCCCAGGUGCCCCAGCAUGGCCCCAGGUGUGCCAGCACAGCCCCAGGUGCCCCAGCACGGCCCCAGGUGCCCCAGCAUGGCUCCAGGUGUGCCAGCACAGCCCCAGCUGUCCCAGCACGGCCCCAGCUGUCCCGGCACGGCCCCAGGUGUGCCAGCACGGCCCCAGCUGUCCCAGCACGGCCCCAGGUGUGCUGGCACAACCCCAGGUGCCCCAGCACGGCCCCAGGUGCCCCAGCACGGCCCCAGGUGUGCCAGCACGGCCCCAGGUGUCCCAGCACAGCCCCAGGUGUGCCAGCACGGCCCCAGGUGCCCCAGCACGGCCCCAGGUGUGCCAGCACAGCCCCAGGUGUGCCAGCACGGCCCCAGGUGUGCCAGCACGGCCCCAGGUCCCCCAGCACAGCCCCAGGUGCCCCAGCACGGCCCCAGGUGUGCCAGCACGGCCCCAGGUGCCCCAGCACAGCCCCAGGUGCCCCAGCACGGCCCCAGGUGCCCCAGCACGGCCCCAGGGCUAUGUUCUCCGGACGUUCUCCAGGCGGUAGCUGCUGCGGACCAGCGAGUCCAC